rnacentral:lncRNA from 1 species
UCCAGUCAUUGUUGCAAGAUGAAGCGCUGUUUCACCAAAACCUGUAACCUCUUUGUGCACUGCAUCUGGGCAAAGAUUAACGAAGGUUUUCACUGCAUUGAAAUCACCUUUAUCCAUAGCCUCUCGUAAUGGCUGAAACUGAAGGUACUCGUCCCUCUCUGUUCCUGUCAUAUUUUAUCAACUUAUUAUACCUCUCGUUCCAUUAAACACUUUUUGAUUUUUAAUUAAGAAAAUAUUAAAUCAUCCUAGUUCUGGAAAGGAAGACUUUUUUUGGCUGAAAGAAUGUAUUAGGAAAAUAUCAAAUGAUAUUUUUUUUUUCCAAGUCUACGUCAAAUUUUGUAUUUUUUUUUUUUUAAUUUGAAAUAUAUUUUAACAUUUUCCUUCAUUUUUUUUUCAUCCAAUAUUUUUUUCCUCUCCUUCCAAACAAAGCCUAAAACUCUAACUUCUCUUCCAUUUUAUUCCCAUUGUCUCUUUUGCUUCACUUUAAUGAACUUUUCCUCACCCCCAUCGAAACUAGAGCCCAAUUUCAAGUCAGUAUGGAUAUGUUUGGAUAAGGUUAAUUAAUCAAUUGAGUUUGAGCAAUUGUUUGAUAAAGCCCUUUUCUACAUAUAAAAAUUAAAAAAUAUUACCUUCAUCUACCGAUUCUGUCUGUGAUUCCACUUCCGAUGACGCCAAUUCAGUUUCUUGUUCCUGUGUUUGGUCUUUUGAUGACUUUCUCUUAUUCAUUUUGGCUAAAGUUUUCCAGCAAACUCUAGCAGAAUCAAUGUAUCUUAUUUGGGAAAGUUUGUCUGGUAGGCAUGAAAUUUGAAUUGCAUGUAAAGCAGCUGCAUUCUUCUUUCUCCAACCAUUAAAUUCACCUCUAUCCUCCUUCUCACUAGGACGUUUAGUGGUUGCUUCAACAAUAUCCCAAAGGUCGUUGGCCAACAAAUAGUUCUUCAUGCAAGUACUCCAAUUUGCAUAAUUGGAGUCUCCUAGAAAUUCAGGAACAAUAUUUGAUGAUGCCAUGCUCAAAUCUGUCAAUUAUGCAAAGCAAUGUUAAAAGGUUAGAUUAAAAGAUGCUGAUCUACGAAACAAGCCAAUUACCUUUUUUGGCCAGAGUGAAUAGGUCAGAAUUAUUAUCUCAAAAAGACAGUAUUUUUCAUUGGUUUGGUCAUGGGUGGGUCCAUAAUCCAGUCAAAAAAUUAGCUUAACUGUUUAAUGCCCGAAGCAAGAAUUAGAUGCAUGCUUGAGUUCACACGUCAUUGUAUGUUAACAACACUAAUGUUGUCUAAGCUUCAUUUUACAUUGUCUGAAAAAAGAUUAAUAAUAAACAAGUUCAAAAACUUCAAAGUUUAGACAUAAUAAUGGAAUCAAAAGCUUAGAUGCCUGUGUUCCGAAGAAUGUUGUAUGCAGAAAAUAACAGGAAGAAGUAUAUAAAAGAGAGAGGAGAAAAAGAAGAGACGUAUAGUGUGCAGAAAGAACUUACACUAAAUGCAAUAAACUUGGAAGGAUAAGCAGUUGUAAUGGGUUUUAGCAGUGUAAUUCUUCCAACCGAACUCGUUAAAGCUGUAAGCUCAAGUGCUUGGGAAUAACAAUUAUUGACGCAUAUGAUCCCACCAAAAAGGAAAAGUUCAUUGGAAUUAAAUGCUUUCACUUUUCUUCUUUCCUUUCUUUCUUUCUUUUUGUUCUUCGCUUUUUGUGUUCCAUCAAUUGGAGGAUUACAAAUAAUUGAUUGACAUCUAUUCACCACGUACUGAACCAAAGUGUGCACUAAUUCAUCUUUCGCUUUAUUACUGUUUUUUUUUCAGACUUUUUUGCUUCUCUUAUCUUUUCAUAUACAAUUAAUUGAUUGAUUCGUGUCCACUUUUGUUGCUAUUUCUUUUUUUCUUUUGAGUGUACGUAUCUCAUCCAUGAGAUUGGUAAUGGAGUCAUUAUUGGUUUUAAAUGGAAUAAAAUGUGCAAUGGAAUCGAUAUUAUAAUAUUUUUAACGAACCGAAUCAAGUUUAAAUGAUUAAAGUAAUAAAUAAUUAAUUUGAAAUAAUAUCUAUUAUCAAAUCUUUCACAAGUAAAAUUAGAAAUUUUUUAUUCAUUAGAUUGUCGUAAUUCAUAAAUCGUCUAAUUGUAGUCUUUAACAAUAUCCUUACCGAUUGACAAUGAAAAAAAUAUAAAAUUAUUUUUAGAGAAUUUGAAAAGCAAAAAGUAUUUUGAAUUCUAACUCAAAAUACGCUUAUAUUAUUUUGGUGGCUAUAAAAGUCAAGUCUACACUCCAUAUAAGAGACUAUAUAUAGAGGAAUGCGGGAAGUACUCAUAAUAUAUCCUAGUUAGAAAUUAUUAAUUUAAUCAAUUAAAUAAAUAAAUUAUAAUUAAUUCACCUUUUAAAAUAUCUUAUAUUUAAACCCAAUAAGUUUUAGAAACGUUUAUUCUGAGUCCCUAUUUAAUAUUUUAGAUCAAAAUUAUAUUUUUUAUAAAAUUUUACUUAAAACUUAUUUUUUUUCUCAUUUUUAAUUUUUCAUAUCAAUCGUUAUACAUGUGCCCCAUUACGUUCCAAAUAUAAUUAAUUAAAUUUAUAUUUGAAAGUUAAAAGUGAUAUCUAGCACCAUAAUAAGACUAUCCAAAUAUUUGAAAAGUCUACAGUAGGUUGACUUAACCUUUUAGUGAAUGAUCUCUCAAUAUAUUUAAGAUCUAUUCAUCAAUAAUAUUUUGAUUUAUUUCAUUUAAGCAUGGAACAUGUCAGGUAAGUUAAAUUAUAUUAAUUCUUUUAGCAAUAGUUAUUGAUUCAUUGAAUAAGAUUUCAAAUCCAAUUUACUAAUUUGAUUUCAUCUUGUGCAAGGAUUUCAUGAUCAAUACUGUUGAAGCGUGUCUUUAUGCCCUUGCCUGAUCCGAUGAGGAUACGAGGAUAUUGAAUGAAGGGAUAAUGCUAUCUAGAAGUCUUUUAAUCGAAGGAUUUAAAUUAAACCGAUUUUAAGUUUUUGGUUGGGUCAGAGUUGCGUCACGCAGCUAAGCAGGUGCGUGACGGCACUGUCAGCUGCGUCACACAGCUCUAAUCCAACGUUACCAAAAAUGCUGACAUAACGGUUUUUUAUUCUAUCUGAGCGACACGUGGCUGUGGUCCAGAAAGGAAGCUGCGUCACGCAGCUAACAGAUCCGUCACGUAGCCGUAAGCUGCGUGACGCAGCUACCUUUGCUGCCCUACAUACUAUAAAUUGAUCUUUUUCUCUCGUUUGAAAAAAAAAAAAGGGCUUUUGAAAAACACACUUUUGGCUACAUUUUUCUCCAGAGACUCUUCUGAGUUCAUUUGAAGAAAAAUUGCCAUUAGAUAUCAAUUUAGAUAAAAACAAAAUCAUAAAAAGAAAAAAAAUCAAGAGAGAAAAGAAUAAGUGUUUGAUUCUUUGGUGAUAAUGCUUCUGGGAGGCCUUAACUAUCAUUUGUUAAGGCAUUUAAGCCAUUUACAAUCCUCAAUCUGAGGGUUAGGUAAUUCCUUUACCCUUCUUUGUAUUUUUAUUUACUUUUGUGGUUUUAGUAGUUUAAGCUUCUUUAAACUGCAUUAUGCUCAUCUUUGGUCAUUUUAGGUUUUCUUAAAGCAUAUUUAGAUAAAAAAUGAUCUAAACAAAUUAUUUGAAAAAUAAGAUUAGGCCAGAGCAGUUGCGUCAUGCAACCAACGGACCCGUAACGGAUCUGGAAGAUGUGUGACGGAACUGUUCAUAUCCCAAAAUUUUAUUUCUAUACCCAGUGUUGGGCCAGAGCAGUUGCGUCACGGAACCAACGGAUCUGGAAGAUGCAUGACGGAGCUGUUCAUAUCCCAAAAUUUUAUUUCUAUACCCAGUGUUCGGCCAGAACAGUUGCAUCACGCAACCCACGGAUCCGUAACGGAUCUGGAAGAUGCUUGACGGAACUGUUCAUAUCCAAAAUUUUAUUUUUAUACCCAGUGUUCUAUUUUCCAGAUUACGGAUUUAAAAUAAGUUUCUAAUGGAUCUGGAGUUUUAGGGACAGAUCCAUCACGGAACUAACAAAUCCGUCACAGAACUAGAAGAUCUGUGACGCAGCUGUUCUAAGAUUCCAGAAAUAAUUUUUAUUUUUUUUAAAAAAAGUAUAAUAAAUUUUGCACAAAAUAAAGUUUAAUUUCUCCAAUAAAUCUGAAGAUGUCCAAUUAUGAACAGAUUGCAAUUUAAUUAAGUUUAGAGUACUAAAAUGUAAUUUUAUGUAUUUACUUGUAUGAAUUUUACAAUUUUAGGUUCAAUGAAAAAUGAAAUUAAAUUUAUGGGUUUGUUAGUAAUUUGCAUGUUUAGGAUUAAAUUAAAAAAAUAAAAUGUAAUUUAGGUGCUAAAUAAUAAAUGCAUGAUUUUGGUUUUUGGGUUUAAUUUUGAAUCGGGUAGAAUGCAUUUUAGGUUCGAUUUGUUGCUCGCCUUGAACCAUAAGGCAAGAGCGGCUCUUUUAUUUAUUCGAUUUAAUUGCUUUGGUUUAAAUGAUUAUAAAUGCGAUAAUUGGAUUUGAUUGGGAAGAUUAAGUAAUUUUCCAUAUAAAUGUAUUUUUCAUUGAUUUUGACCAAACCCAUGCUUAGAGAUAUGUUCAGAGGAAAUACAAAAUCUCUAGGACUACAUGGAUGUUAAAUGUAUUUUUCAUUGAUUUUGAUCUUUAUGACCUUUUUUUCGCCUUUUUUAUUAAUAAUAAGACUUGUUGCGUUUUAUACAUACAUGAGCAUGAAUAGUUUUUAUACAUUUACUGUUAUUGAUUUGUUAAAGGCAUGUUAGGCAGAUAUAUGAUUAACCUGCUCACAUGGAUAAUCAUCUUUAUUUAUCUAUAUGAUAAAUAAAGGUAAGACUGUUUUAAAGCAGAUUGUUUGACUGAUAAUGAGGAGAGCUUGUGCUUAAAAGCGAUCAAGUCAUCUCAUUGUGAGAAAUGAAAUAUACAAAACAUGAUGGUGUUAUGCAGCAAAAAAUAUUUAUAAGUACAUUGAAAUCUGUCUUAGUCACCAGAUGUGAGUUCUUAAGUGUAUUGCGUAGACUAGUGAACUCAAGUUAGGCAUUGAGUGUGUCUAAACUAUCAUUUGCCUAGUGUUGCUAAUUAAAUCUUUAUUUUAGUAGACAUGCCAUGUGUAAGGAGAAAGAAUAAUACUAUGACAUGUGCGAAAUGACGACCAAAUGAGUUGCCAAGGUAUACGAUCUCAACUUUGGCUGUGUGAAAUUCUUUGAGAAUAAUAGUUCUCUAAACUAGUAUCAUUAUGACUUUUGACUGAUUUUUAAAAUAUAAUACAGGGAUUACUAUCUGAGGGUUUUACCAAAAAAUCAUGAAUGAUGCGAUUGUAUUGGACACUUAUAGAGAAGCGAGUUGAACUAAGAUCGAGAAAAUUAAUUUGAAGGGAAGAUUAUUUUGCGGUCACAUUUAAGUUUUGUGUCACAGGUUGACCAAAUAUGUUAUGAGUAAACAUAAUUGUGAAUAUGAAAUAUGUUAUGAGGUCAAUGGUAACAAUAAAUGUGAUAAAUAAAGUGGAAGUAGUGCAUACUUUUCUACUUAAAAGAGUUUUUUUUCUCAUCGAGAUGCUAUAUAUCUCUAACAAGUAUAUAGCAAAGAACUCUCAAAGUAUGUUGGUCGCAUGAUCUAUCUACUGAGUAUGAAUGUCUAACUAUGGACCGGUCAAGUCUCGUCAUGUGUGAGUAGGAGAUGUUCGAAUUAAUGGACAGAUAUAGGUGCGUCCAUGACUAGCGUUUUAACCCAGAUCCAUUAAUAAUAAUUAAUGUGUUUAAUUAUUAAUAAUAUUUAAAUAAGUUUAAAUAUUAUCCUAAUUGGCUAUAAUAAAGAAGUUUGAGUCAUGGUAGGAUUACACGAAUCGGUGGUAAUCCAACUAUAACAAAAAGGCAAGAGAACACCUUCUCUGUUACACCUUUGACAAACAAACAGAAAAACUUUCUCUCGUUAUCUCUUUUUUCUCUCGUUUAUAUUGCUAAGACAAAAGGCUUUUAGACCGUGGACAAGGGAAGCAGUUUGUUAAUUUGUGAUUGCUUCUACGAUAAGCAAACUUGUAACAUAAAGUAAAAGGUUUUUUAUCCGCUACGCUACAAGAGGUAUGUAUUCAACCCACCCACUUUUACAUAUCAUGUAUAGGUAUACGAUAAUGUGAUUCUAACAAUCACUUUGAAAAUAUGUUCUUGAUAUUUGGCUUAAGAUUAAUCUAAAAUAAAUUUUUAGAUCAAUUUACCUUGCCUUAAAUUUUUUCUCAGAGUCAAAUAAUUCAAAAGAUGUAGUUCAUUAAAUGUCAAUUGCGUAUUGUCGUAUCACCAAACAAGAGUUGCUUUUUUGGACAUAACCUAUUUAUGGGUGAUUAACUGUUUAUGGCAGUAAUGUAAUUGGUGAUAUACAAUUAAAGUAACUAUACAUAGAUGUAUAGUGGUUUCAUAUAUUUUUUUUAGAAAUUAGUUGGUAAACAAUCUAAGGUCGAUUUUUUAUUUAUACUAUUUCCUAAUUUAUUUUAUGAAUGUUUCAUCUUUUAUUUUUCAUCAAUCAUGGAAAUUGGUUAUUUUAUAAAUGGUAUGUUCUUCAUACUCUUGCUGUUUUCUUCGAUUAUUUUUUAGGCCUCGAUGAAUUCUUCGAAUUGAAAUCAAUUCUAUGAAAUUAUGUCAAAUAAAUACUACCUAUCAAAAUCAAUUUAUUCAAUUUAUUUUAAUAAAUUCUAUACCUAUUAAUUGUUUUUUAUUUGUUAUCAAAUACAUUUAUAACCAUUUAUAUGCAAAUAAUUUAACACCAUACUUCUUUAUGGUUUUAUAUCCAAAACUCAAAUCUAUAUUCAUACUCUAUUUCUAAUUCAAAUUUGAUGCUCCGUUUGGUAUAAAUGAAUUCAAAAUAUGGAAUUCAUUUAUAAAUGAAUCCUAGUAGUAUUCAUUUGUGAAUGAAUUAUUGAUGUUUGGUAUGAUUAAUUUAAAACAUGUAAUUUAAUUGAAUUUCACAUAAUCAUGUAUGGAACAAAUUUAUAAUUGAAAAUUCAUUUAUUUUAUUUUCUAAAAUAUCCUUGAAAUAGUAAUUUUACAAAAAUAAAUAAUAAAUAUCAAUUAUAUUUAUGUUAUGAUAUCUAAUUUUUUAUAUUUUCAUUAAAAUAAAUAUAUAAAAUAAAAAUAAUAUUAAUAAAAUUGUUUCAUUUUAUUUAAUGGUAAAUAGAUAUUUAGCUUGAAUCUCUCUCAUAGACAAUAAAAAAAUGCUAAAAGAUAUUAAAAUAAAAGAUGAAAAAUAUUAAAAUAAAAACACAAUAAUAAGUUUCUUAAAAAAUAAAAUUUUUAAAAGGUUUUAGUCAAGUUUGAUAAAAUAAAUAAUUUAAAUAAUUAAAAAAUUGAAAAAUUGAUUUUGUAGAUAGAAAAUGAUAGUUUUAUCAUAAAAAAUUAGAUUGCUUAAUUCAUGGAAUUCAUUCGAAAAUUCCACUUAUUUUUGUGGGAUUUGGUGUAGUCGUGUCAAAUUGCAUGGAAUUGAAUUUUUAGAAUUGAAAUCUACAUUUUCUUUUUCAUUCCAAACACAAAAAUAUGGAUUUCUAAAUGAAUUUCAUAAAUUUUAUGGAAUUCAUUUGUUCCGAACAAGGGAUAAAUGUACGAUCUAUCUAAAUGGAAUAAAAUAAGAGAUAAGAGUAAAGGAAAAAAUCUAUCCAAUCAUUUUUAUUAUUGAUUUAAAGAUAAAAUUUAUUUUUAAAUAUUUUUUUUUAAAUUUAAUCAUAUAUUGUCAAUUGUAUAAUUUGAGGCAUAUUUUGAAUGAAUCAUAUUGAUUGAUAGAUUAUUCUGUUGCUUUACACUAUUAAUAUAGCUAGGGUACAUGUUUAUACAAGGUAAGAAAUAAAAGAUUAUUAUUUUCCUCCUAUAGUCAUUCCCUAAUUAUGUGCACUGAUUGGGAAAUGAUGGGAAAUCUGAUCCCACAUUUUCCUCUUAUUUCCUUUCUUGCUGACACUCCCCCUCAAGUUGAGUAGUGCGAUUGCCAAUGCUCAACUUCCCCAAAACUUCACCAAAGAUUCUUCCGUUCACUACCUUUGUUAAUAUAUCUGCUAGUUGAUCUUCAGAGUGUACGAAGGUUAGCUUUACACUGCCUGCGUCUAACUUCUCUUUUAUGAAUUGCCUGUCAACUUCCACUUGUUUUGUCCGAUCAUGCUGUACCAGAUUUUCUGAAAUACUGAUCGCUGCCUAGUUAUCACACAUUAUCUUGCAAGCCUCAGAUGGUGGGAACCCAAUUUCAGUUAACAAUUUUUGCAACCACAAUAUUUCAGUCAAAUCUCGUGCCACUCCUCGAAAUUCAGCCUCUGCACUGGACAGCGCUACAACUUUUUGCUUUUUGCUCCUCCAUGUGACUAAGUUACCUCCCACAAAAGUAAAAUAUCUUGAUGUGGACCUUCGGUCCACUGGAUUGCUUGCCCAAUCAGCGUCAGUAUAUCCCUGUAUUUCUAGGUGUCCAUGCGCUUUAAACAGAACACCAUGUCCAGAUGUUCCUUUGAGAUACCUUAUAAUCCUCCAUACAGCAUCCAUAUGGUCUGUUUGAGGUUGAUGCAUGAACUGGCUUACUACUCCGGCUGCAUAAGCUAUAUCUGGACGAGUAUGUGAGACAUAUAUCAAUUUUCCAACCAACCUUUGAUACUUCUCCUUAUUUGCUAGUUCUGCUCCUUCUACUAUCUUCAGCCCAUGAUUUACCACCAUUGGUGUGUCAGCCGGUUUACAAUCGAUCAUUCCUGUUUCUGCCAACAGAUCUAGAAUGUAUUUCUUCUGACAUAUAAAAAUCCCCCUUUUUGAUCUCAGAACCUCAAUUUCGAGAAAAUACUUCAGUCUUCCCAGGUCUUUCAUUUCAAAUUCUGUGAACACGUUUUCCCUUAGCUUGGUCAUUUCUUCCAUAUCAUCUCCUGUAAUGAUCAUGUCGUCAACAUAAAUGAUCAAGCAGGUUACAAGUUUACCUCUCCGCUUUAGGAACAAAGUGUGAUCAGAGUUGCUCUGUUUGAACCCAUAUCCAUUCAUUGCUUGUGUAAAUCUACCAAUCCAGGCUCUAGGUGACUGCUUCAGUCCAUAAAGCGAUUUUUUUAACCGACACGGCUCCCCUUUCUGGAAUUCCUCUGUGAAUCCUGGUGGAGCUUCCAUAUAAACCUCUUCUUUCAGGUCCCCAUGCAGAAAAGCAUUUUUCACAUCAAACUGAUGAAGUGGCCAUCCCUUGUUUGCUGCUAUCGAGAACAAUACCCUAAUAGUGUCAAUUUUUGCUACUGGUGAAAAAGUCUCUGAGUAAUCAAUACCAUAAGUCUAGGUAUAUCCUUUUGCCACUAACCGCGCCUUGUACCUUUCAAUGGAACCAUCUGGCUUAUGCUUUAUUGUAAAGACCCAGCGACACCCAAUUGGUUUCUUUCCUAUCGGUAAAGCACAUUUCUCCCAUGUGUGGUUCUGGAUUAAAGCAUUCAUUUCUUCUUUCAUUGUAUUGGUCCAUUUUUCUAAUGUCAAGGCAUGUUCUACUGUGGUCGGGACCUUUUCUUCACAUAUAGCUGAGAUAAAUGCCUUGGCUUCUCUGGAUAAACUCCCCCUGGCUAUGUUUGCUUCUGGGUAUCUAGACCUCCGAGAUUCUUUUUCUGGAGAGUAUCUGUUAGGUUGGAACUCCCCUAUUGCUUCUGGGUGGUAAUACAAAUCGUUCCUCCUGUUCUGCCACCUGUCCUGCGACAGUCUCACAGUCACUGGAAUUAGUAGAAAUAACAGGAGACUCGGGGGUUUCAGGUUCUCUUACCUCGGACACCAGGUUAGGAAUAGUAUUUUCUGAGACACUAGGCUCCGUAGACUGUAUGGACGUAUCUGAAGUUGACCCAACAAUACUGUUUCUUUCCUGUUCUCUGUUUCCUUCCUAUUCUGUAACUUGUGGGUUCUCUUCCUGAGGAUCCAAAUCCACAUGUGAGGCCACUGGUUCUCGAAGCCAGCUCAGUGUGUCCAUAUAUUCCUUCUCCCCUUGACCACUGAGUUGGGUGGUAUAAAAAUAUUCGGUUUGAAGGAAAUCACAAUUUAUUAUGGUGAACAUACGGCUGGUUUUAGGAUUAUAGCAUCGGUACCCUUUUCGAUUAACCCUGUACCCAACAAAUACACAUUUUUCGGCACACGAGUCAAAUUUAGAUCGUUCAUUUUUUGGAAUGUGAACAAAGACAGAAUAACCAAAAAUGUGUGGUUGAAGGGUUAAGGUCGGAGGAAUUUUGGUAAGUUGGGACAAGGUUUGAAGUGGAGUUUGAAGGUCAAGGAUUUUGGUUGGGAGUCUAUUUAGAAGAUAGGUGGCAGUAGCUACAGCUUCAAGCCAAAAGGUUUUAGGGACCCGAGACUCAAUAAGAAGAGCUCGAGUCAUUUCAAGGAGAAUCUGAUUUUUUCGUUCGGCAACACCAUUUUGUUCAGGAGUAUGAGGACAAGUAGUUUGAUGUACUAACCCUUUUUGUUGGAAAAAUUAUUUCAUGGCGGUGUUGACAAAUUCCCCCCCGUUGUCGGAUCUUAAAAUUUGAAUUGUCUUAGUAAAUUGGGUUUGGAUCAUAGUAUAAAACAAGAUAAAUUUAUCAACAACCUCUGACUUGUUUUUCAGAAAAUAUACCCAUGUCAUGCGAGUACAAUCAUCCACAAAUAUAAAAAAAUAACGAAAACCAUUUCCUCCCAUGACAGGUGCUGGACCCCACACAUCAAAAUGGACUAAUGAAAAAGGUAAAUCUACCCUAGUAUUAUUUGGCCUGAAAGUUUGUCUAUGGCUUUUCGCCAAAACACAAGUCUCACAGUGCAAAAUUUUAUUGGAUUUAAAGAGUUUAGGAAAUAAAAGAUGUAAAUAACCUGUGGAUGGAUGUCCUAAUCUCCGGUGCCAAAGCCAAGCUUCCGGAUCUGUAGUUCCAUGUGCUAGCAUCAUAGUACUAUGUUGGGCAACUUCAUCCACAUAGUACAACCCUUGGUGCUCAGUGCCACGUCCAAUAAUCAUUCCUGUCUUGAUGUCCUACAGUAUACAGAAAGUAGGUGUCAUUAGCAUGGUACAAUUAAGUUCUUUUGUUACAUGACUAAUAGACAGCAGUUUAGGUGAAAGUGAAGGGACAUAAAGAAAAUUUGAUAGUUUUAGUGUGGGUGAUAUGUCAAUAGACUCGGCCCCCUCUACAGAAACUAUUUCCCCAUUGGCUGCUCCGACAUGUGUCUUUGUGGGUUUGGAUUGUUUUUUAAUAUCGUUGGCAUCGAACGUCAUGGUGUCGGUGGCUGCACAAUCAAAAAUCCAUGAUGCAUUCUUACUUUUAUCAAAAUUUCGGACCAUAUUUGCAAUAGACAAAGAUUUUGGGUCAAUUUGUAAUAAUUCUAGGGCAGAAAUUAAUUAGGCCAAAUUAGAAGGACUUAGGAGAAAAUUUCCAACUCCUUUAUCCUUAUAACCCAUAUUACGACUUUCUUCAAUCCUAGACGCCAUAGCCUUUCCCACGCUGCCUCCUUCUUCGACGCUUCCUUGGCCACCAUCGUCGCUGUUGGUAGCCUCAGGGUUGCUCACGGCGAUGGCGGCUCUUCCUCCUGUGGCUUGGCUGUCCCUUUUGUGUCCAUCAUUCCACCAAUCGGGAUAUCCCACAAUCCGAAAGCAAUUUCUUUUGUGUGUUUGCUCAUCCCACAGUGGGUACACUUAAGUUUCGCCUUGUAGGAGCGGAAUGAUGAGCCGCUUGGUUUGCCGGUGGAGCCUGACCGUCGUUGUCCCUAUGCCGCCAUCCCAUGGCUUCAAUCCCUGUUGUGACUAACCCACUUCCUAUGCCUUGUUGUGACAAAAUGCCAGAGGCUGAUCCUAAAAUAUUGAGACGGGCCGCCUCUUUCCGAACAGUGGCGUAGGCGGGUUCCAGUGAGGGUAACGGAUCCUGUCUUAAAAUUUCUCUUUUUAUUUGAUUAUAUUCAUGAUCGAUUGCAUUCAGGAACUGGAACAAUUUUUGUUCUUGACGUAUUAUGUUAUAUGUGGCGAUAUCUGCUUCUGACGUCAUUGGGUUUGGUUCCCGCCGGUCGAUCUCGCCCCAUACUCCUUGCAUGGUAAUCCAGAAAUCUUCUAAAGGAGCUCCAUUUUGCUUCAUUCUGUUUGCCUUUGAAUGAAGAUCAAAGGUUUGUAACUUUUCCCUGCCACUGCUGUAUGUUGUAAUAAGGGCAUUCCAUAGUGCUCUUGCUGUGGGAAACUUGGUCAGAUUGCUUGCUAAUUGGGGUUCAAUAUUCUGGAUUAGCCAUGAGAACACAAUGAGAUCAUCUUGUUCCCAUUUUUUGUAUUUCUCGUCGCCGAUUUGUGGUGGCGCUGGAAUUCCAGUAAGGUGGCUUAACAAGGCCUUGGACUUCCCUUCAAUUGCAAGCUUAAUCAUACGUGCCCAUAACGCAUAAUUCUGGCUGUUCAAUUUAACACUGAUGAUUAAAUUAUAUGACAGGGUCUGGUUUUGGUUACUGAGGCCAUUUCUGAUAAGAUUUGCUAAUUGAAUUGUCAGGUCAUCGGUGCUGAUGCCAGACUGUUUCUCCAAGUUGCCGUCUUCGGACAUGGUGGCCGGAGUCUUAUGGGUUGGUACACUAGUGGCUGACGAGGAGUUGCCGUCGUCAGACAUGGUGACUAGAUUUCUGUCGGUAAGUUGGUAUGUGAUGAGCGAUUGAAAUUAUUUGAUCCAAGGAUCAUUGAACCUGCUCUGAUACCAUGUCAAUUGUAUAAUUUGAGGCAUAUUUUGAAUGAAUCGUAUUGAUUGAUAGAUUAUUAUGUUGCUUUACACUGUUAAUAUAGCUAGGGUACAUGUUUAUACAAGGUGAGAAAUAAAAGAUGAUUAUUUUCCUCCUAUAGUCAUUCCCCAAUUAUGUGCACUGAUUGGGAAAUGAUGGGAAAUCUGAUCCCACAUUUUCCUCUUAUUUCCUUUCUUGCUGACAUAUAUAUCUAUUUACGUUAAUAUUUAUUUAUACUUUUAAAAUCUAAUAUUUCCAUUUUCAAACUUUUGAUUUUUUAUCUUUUUACUAUAAAUCCUGAUACUUUUUCAUAAAAUACUAUAAAUUUAUUUUUUCCUUUUAUACAAAUAUUUAGAUUUUUUUAACUUAUUUUUUGAAAUUGUUUAUAUGAUGAUUCCUUUAAAAUGUUUCUUAAUAAUAAUUAAGUAAUACAUAUUUAAAAAUAAUUAAUUUUUUUAUGAUGUACAUUGCAAGUUCACUAUACUCGUUAUUCGUCCUCCUUCAAUUUUUUAACUCGCUAUUUCUAAAUUUUAUAUUUUAUUUUUUAAAUUUAUUUUUUAAAAAAUAUAUCCACUUAAAUUAUAUAAAUAUAAAGAAAACAAAUAGUAUUAUAAAAAAUACUUGUUUCUUUUUUAUCUCUCCUAAAUAAAAUAUUUAAAUUAUAAUAAAAACAGAAUCAAAUAUUUAAAAAAUAAAUUUGAAAAUAAAAUAUAAAACAAUUUCUAUGUCUCAUUAUCACAUAUAUUUAUUAAAAAAAUUAGAAAAGAUAAAACUUAAAAUUUCAAAAAAAAAUUUAAAAUGUUUAAUUAUCAAUACAUAUUUAUUUAAAAAAUAAUUUUAAUAAAUAUAUCCAAGUAAGAUUAUUUUAGAAUAUUCAUAUUUCAUAAAUUGCACUUUAUCAAAAAUCACAUUAUUCUCCUAUUCUCAUAUUUUGCCAGGCUGUAUAUACAUUUACCACUAGAUUAUGUCUUGGUGUGCCUAUUCUAAUAUUUAUAUAUAGCAUAGGUUAUCAAAAACUAAUCAUGAUAAGUAAGUUAAGUAAUACAAAUAAUAUAACAAUUCCCUUCUGCUAAUAAGAGUCAUGAGUUUCCAUCAAAAAUACACUGCUGCGUUGUUAUUCUUUUUUCUUCUUCUUCUCCUUCUUUCCGCAGCCUCUUCCCUUAAUUUUAAACAUGGGGUAAGACCUAAUUAAUUUACCUCUGUUAUCUUUAGUUUGCUUUAUGGCUAAUGAAAUUUUUUUUUUUUCUUUUUUCAGAGUUUGCUGUUUGAGAAGAAAGCAAUAUUAGAUUCAACACCCCCGAGUUGCCAAGACAAGUGCCAUGGAUGCCAGCCAUGUCGUGCGGUUCAAGUGCCUGAACCGAAUCCUCCUCCAGGUCCAAUUGAAAAUCCAGGUUAUAUUGGAGAUCCAGGUUAUAAGCCAAUCGUUUGGAAGUGUAAAUGUGGUGGAAAAUUUUAUGGGCGUGAUGCAUAAAUUUGCCCCUGAAAUUCAUAUGAUUUGUCUCAUGGCACCUCAAAUUUGUAAGACUUAUCAUGAUCCUACACUUUGAUAUUUCCGUAAUAACUAUAACUUUCGCCAAAAUAAAAUGUAAAAGUCCAACUCUAACAAUUCAUUUUAGCGAAAGACAUAAUUAUUAUUAAAAUGUUAAAGUAUAGGGUCAUGAUAGGUCCCCACAAAUUUGAGGGAGAAAUUUCAAGCGCAAAUCUAUGCAUUUGACCAAAUUUUAUUAUAGUCAAUGAUCUUAGUUCUAAGGUGCCUAUAAUAUGAAGUUAAUGAAAUUCUGAGGCUAAAUAUAAUCUUAAAAACAAAAAUUUAGCCUCUACGAAUAAUUAAUUAAUGUUUAUUAUUAUUUUAAAUUAAUAGAAUAGAAUCUGGUGUGCUUGUUUUGUCUUAAUUAUUUUCUUGGUUGGCCCAUUUUCAAGUUUCGAAUUUUUUUUAAGUAUUGAAGGUGGAGAUUCGAACCUGAAUUUAUUGGCAGAUCGUAUAUUCAUUUGCCACAAAUUAACAAUCUCUAUCAAAUUAACAAAAGAUCAUAAAUUCAAUAUCAUUGUGAGUAAUAAUUGGAUGGAUUAUACUUGUUUAGAUUGGGUCUAUCAUUUCAUGUAUGAAUCAAACCAAUGAAAAUAAGAAUUUUUUAAAAAUGAUUUCUAUUUUAUCUUUUUUUUUUUCAGUAUAGAGUCAGAAAUAUUUUUGUCUCAAUAAAAAUUCAUAUUUAUAUUUUUGUAAUCGAUUAAUUAAUAGCUACGUAAAUGUAUUGAGAAUUAACAAGACUUAAUAGGAGGUGGUUAGCAGAUGAAAUCAAGUAACUACUCACACAAUGCCAAAUGGAAAGAAGUUACUUAAGCUAUUGUUUGGACAGUUGAGAUGUCAUGCAUGUUAAGUGAUAAUCGCUGGGUGCCUUAUAAAGCCAAGCUUAAACAUCAGAAUAGCCCCCAACAAUCAACUCCAAAAAUCAAAAUCAAGAACAAUUCAACUACAAUCAAAUAACAAUUACAAUUUCAAUUUUAUUUAUGUUUGUUGUAAUUUCUUUUUCUAAGUAUUUUCAAUUUGUCUUUGCAAUUCCAAUUUUUGUCAAUAUAGUAUUUUUAAUUCAAACAAUCUCAUUAUUUACAAAGCUUUUUGCAAUCGUUAUUUUUCAAGCACUAUCAAUUAAUUUCCAGCCUUCGGUGAAGCGUUUAUCAUAAAGACAAACCCUUCAGUCUUAUGAUUAAGAAGUAUAGGUAUAGCAAUUUUUCCUGUAGUUGAUAAACUUUAAUACCAGGCACGCUCAAGUUGUUAGUCAGUCGUUUAUUGCUUUGAUCCAAUAACUUACAUUAUAUAUAUAUAUAUAUAUAUAUAUAACAAAUAAUUUAUUAAUCAUCGACAUGUAAGGCAUUCUAGUGUUCUUUCUCUUAUUCGAGAACUCUUAAGCCGUUCUGGACAACAGGGGCGGAGCUCCCUUGGGGACUAAGGGGGCCGUGCGCCUCCAAAUUUUUUUUUUUUUUUUAAAUUUUAUGAAAAUGAUGUUUUAAUCCUUAAAAAUAUUAAAAAAAAUUACAUUUAGCCUCCCUGAAAGUUUAAAAAAAUUACAUUUAUAUCUUCCAAAAUAAUUGUUCUAGUUCCGCUCUGCUUGACAAACCAAGCUUUGUAAAUAAUAUAUAAUGUAAAAUACAGAUCAAGCUUUCUCUUAAGAGUAGUCUCGUAACAAAUAAAGAAUGUAUAAUAUAAAAUAUAUAUUUAGUGCAAUUAAUUGAAAAAUAUUGCAAUACAAGAUAGCCAAAUACCUAAAAUUCUUAUAAAGAAUGUCCCUAAAUAUAUUUAAACAAUAUAUAAUAUAGAAAACAUAUAUUAAUAUUAUUAUAUACAUAAUAGAGAAAGUGAAAAAUUGACAAAGGAAGGGAAAAUAAUGGAAGGAAAGAACUAGGUUCCCCACUACAAGGAACAUAAAUUCCUAUUUAGGGUAAAAUCCAAGCAAGUAGUCAACUCAUCCAUCCCCCACCCACCUUACAAUAAUAAUUGUUCUUCAUCUUCGCUUUUAUUUUAUUUAUUUAUUGAAAAAUUUUCCUUCAACAUCUCUAUAAUUAGAUUUUUAAAUACUAUUAAAAACUAUAAAUAGAAAAAUGAUGGUCGUAAUUAUUGAAGUGUAUUGAUAUAUUUAUAAUUAGUAUUAUGUAUAAUAAUAAAUUAAAAUACAUAAUGUGCGACUCUUCAUCUAAUUAAAAUUAAAUUUAUUGUGGAACAUGACCUUUUGAUAUCAUAUUGAAUACUUGCUUUACCGGUUUCACCUCUUUGGCCUUCCUGCUUUCAUGGUCGUGGUCUAAAGAGAAGAUCCUCUUCUAUUGGCUUUAAAAUAUCUCUAACUGCAAUGCAACGCUAAGGGAAACACUUGAAUGAUAUGACAAUACAUAACUUAAUAUUUACGAAACAAUAAUAUUAAUCAAUAUUUAUUGAAUUAAAUUAAUGCUAAAAAUAAACAUCAUUAAAAUAUUUAUUUUAAAUUAAUAAAUAUUAAUUGAAUUUAGUUAAAAAAAAUUUAUAUAAUUGAUAUGGCUAAACUUAUUAAAAAAAAAAAAAGUAAUUAUGUUAUGAUAUUAUGGGCUGGUUAUAUAAAAAUAACAUAUAUGCACAUUGAGAAAACAUCCAUAAACAAAUUAGCAUGAAUCUUAUUUACACUGAAACUUAAAUCUCACAUCCAUAUUUUCGAAAUUAUACACACAAAAAAGAGAGAAUUGAGAAAACCCAAUUUAUUUAAUACAUUGGAAAAAUGAUACAUGAUAAAGACAAGCACUUCAACCAUGUCCGAAAAUCCUGAAGAAAAAUACGUCACAUGUACUUAAGACCAUACUUCAACACUUGUGCAUCAUUGAACUCAAUAGUAAAUGUCAAUUUUUGUUCCUCAAUGCAGAAAGAUCAAUACCAGUACUUCAUUUUUCUAUUAAAGACGCCUGGUCCAUAUGUAGAAAUGAAAAUCUCAACGAGAAGGGGAAAUUGUAAUAAUAUAAAAAGGGUAACAGGUAUACUAGCCAAAAGAGUGAUUGGAAGGACAAGUUUUAAUUCUCUUUGUAGCACUAUCAUAAGAAUCGAGCAAAAGGCUACCAUCAUAGUUGAAAUUGAAAGGAAGAGAGCAGAAAGACCAAUAAUCAACUUUGUAGGCAAAGAUUUGAGAAAAUCAUCUUCUGAAUAGCGCGAUGUAAGGACUCCUAAGAACAUCAAUACUGAUGUUGAGAAGGCAAAAAGAGAAAUUGUAUCAGAUAUUAUAAAUAUUGUAAAUUCUAUUUGAUGUGAAAAUAUUGGAUCACCAGUUUCUUGAUCAUUGCUUUCAACGGUAACUGCGAAUGAUGCACUGAACAUUAGAGUAAUGAUGAGAGCACCUACGACUGUGCAAGAUGUUGCUUUUUCCUUCAUCCAUUUCUCUCCAUCUAUCACCAAUUGUUGAUGGGUUUCAGAAAAUAUCUUAUUAGCAUUGUCACCAUCUAUGUUGGUGUAUUCUUUAGACAAAGGAUCCACAAUACUUUCUACUUCCUGCAUUGAAAGCAAUGAUCUAAGUGGAAUUAAUGUUUAAAAAACACUUAUGAUAAUAAGUUCCCACCCUAAUAUUUAUUUGAAAAUAUCUAUAUCACAUAAAAAUUAAAUUUUAUGUUGUUAAACAUAAUUUUCAAAGAAAUAUUAUUGAAAAUUUUUAAACUUCAAAAUUAAUUUGACACAUAUACACACGUUGAAAUAGAUAAGUAUUUCAAACUAUUUAGCGUGAUUAAAUCAUAAAAUAAUAGAUCAAAAUUUUGCCAUGUACCCAACAAAAAGACUCUCGAAAACCAAAAGUUGUAAAGGAUAGGAAAACAUGAUUUCAUAUUCAAAACCUUAAUUGUUUAGAUGAUUGAUUUUAAUUCAGAAUAGAUCCUUUUAACUAUAUAGUCUUCUUCAAAUGAAUCAAAUGACUUUAUGCUUAUUACCUAUAAUACAAUGGAUCUUCAAUAAAAAAAACAAGUACAAAGUGUACUAAGAGAUAUUACUCAAAUAAAAGGCAUGAGAACUUGAUCUUGUUGAUGUGAACACAAAAUACACAUAGCCUUGUGCUAUUUCCACAGGUUUUAUAGUAUUCUAAUAGCUAUUUUUUAUAUUUUAGGCCUUCAUUUUGAUGGAUUUCUUUAUUGGAUAUCUCUUUAUUGGGUAUUCACAGGCCUUGUGCUAUUGUCUUAAUCUUUUUAUUUAGGUGAAAAAUGGUGCUAAAAGGUAAGGAAAAGCCUAAAAAGUAGCUGAUCUUCCGUGACGUACAAUCUCUCAAUCCAUAUGGUCGUCGCACGAAUGCCCAUGCACAUGGGCGUAGAAGAUGUAGAUCCCUAAGUUACCUACCACACAAUUGUCUAUAAGGGUGUAUAAACACACUCCAAAAGUAAACUAUUAAUAAAAUUAUCAUUCAUUAAGUUGUUCGUGAGCACUAGAGAGACAUAGAUUCAAAUAACUAUUUGAAUACUCUUGUGAGUAGGCAUUCUAGCCUAGAUGAAGUAGGCCCAAGCCCUGAAUACAUGGCUAAGCAAACACUCGUUGCCCUUAACCAUGUAAGAGGUGCUUGAGAUCUUGCUAAGGAACAAUAAAGGUGAGGUAAAGUGUUUAUUUUUUCAAUUAGCUGGCAUUAUUGACUCUAAUGAAGCUGAACCAAGAUCAAUUUCCAGGGUUCUAGAAUUAUUUUCUCAAUCUCAUUUCAAUCUCUCACCUUUAAUUAUUGAAUUUGAUUCAAAAUCUGCCGUGUGUUGAAUUUGAAAUAAAGAAAAAAGACCUUGGAGGUAGAGAUUAUUGUUCAAUAUAUUUGAUAGCUUAUGUAGAUAUUUAUGUUCGAUUCAAUUCUUAUAUAUAUAUGUAGAGAACAUAAUUAUUUUGAAGAUUCAUUGGCUAAAAAGGGAGUUGAAACACAUGGAGAUUUCCUUGCUUGGUUAUAAUACUAGAAAGAAUAAUGUGGAAAUCUUUUCGACUACAAUUUCUCAAUAUGUUUGAUUGUGAAGACACUUUGCUGUAGCUAGAUUGUACCUACAUCGAGUUUUGUAUUUUUUUAUUAUUAUGACAAUUUAGUUAUUAGUUGUGUUAAGAGUUUUGAUUAGUUUCUGAUGUUUUCCAAUUUGGUGUUUAUGAUAUUUUGACCAGGUUUUUCUACUUAAGUUAUCAAGGUUAAGAUGACUGUAAAUGGGAGACUUAAUGACUUAGGAUAAUACUUAGAUAAAAUAAGUUUUUUCUGGAUAAUAUAAUUUAAUAAAAAUUAUUUUGCUGAUAAAGAAAAAGGGGUCCUUGAGAUCUAGUGAUGCAAAUAACCAAUAAGACAGCCAAAACAAUAGUAUAGGAUUAGAAUAAAGAACUAUUAGCAGACUUAAAAUGAUUUACUAAUCGUCAUUCAUCGAGCCACUUAUCCCAACCUAAAAUAUUUUAGAAACCUUAAAGAUUGCUUAAAUACUUAUGCAUGUACACAUGCAUCAUUAAAACAUGAGGACAAGCAUUGAAUUUCAUGUUAAUUCUUAUAUAUCCAACUCAGCUCUUGAUUUACAUAAGGAAAAAGAAAGAGAAUAAUUGAUAGACUACCCUUUAUGCAUCACAUCAAACAGAGGAACCUUUAACCUAAAAGAUAACAAAAGAAGAAGAGCAAUACUCCUAUACCUAGACGAACUUCACCAACUUUAUUAUAUGAGAUAUAAUAGCUCUAAAUCAUUACUUGAGUUUUCUUUCACCCUUCUCUUUCCAUUUUAUAUUGUAUUUAUCUAGGUUUUUUUUAUAGGUUUCUUGUUUAUAUCAUAGGUUCUUGUGAAUAUUAUUAUGAGCUUUAAGGCCUCUUAUCUCUCUAUAAAUAUCUACACGUAUAAUAGGAGAAGGCAUAAAAAACAUUGGAAACCUUUUCUCCUAUAAAAUUUGCCUUGUAUCUUUGUAAUCCUUGAUAGAAUAGAAGGAUUGUACGAAGAAGUUAGGAAGUGUGAAGUUAAGAUAAUAGAGUGUGAAGAGCAAAUUGCCAAGAUAUGUCUUGCUUCUAAUAAACUCAAGUUUGUUGUAAGAUUAAUAUUAUUUUAUUAAGUCAUAUAUUGAAUCUACUGUGCGGAAGUUAUGUUUAAUUAAUCUUACCAACCUAGUUGAAAUAAGAAGAUUUAGACAAGAAUUAGUUGAAACUGGUAAUGAAAUCUUUAAAACUCACUUAGAAACAUAUAACUUCCACUAUGACUGUCGUGAGUCUGAAAGAACUUUAGGAUUGUUUAAUACAAUAAUAAGAUACUUAAACCAGCUGCUUCAUUCAUAGCAUCUUAGAGUUUCAUUCUUCUUCUUUUAAUGGUAUCAGAGCCUAGUUACUAAAUAUUUUACCUAAAUCUUUGGUGAAACCCCAAGUUGCGUUUCUGUUAUUGCCAUUUAAGCCAUUUAUAGGCGUCUAAAGGUUGAGAAGUAAAGCAUUGACAGUGAUCCAAAGAAAUGGAUAAAUUAUUUGGAAACUUAUCUAGUCUUUCUAGGAGUACAAGAUUUAAAUCAAGCCAAAGCAACGAAAAUUUUAAAAAUAAAAAAUAAAGAAAUAUUAUUAUUAGAAGAUAUAGAAACUAGUUUAAAUAUUGAAAAUUACCUACUAUGUUCUCCAAUAUGAAAUACAAUUCUAAUACUAACUUCUUGUUUAAAGCUGAUUAUGUGAUUAAAACAAUUGAGGAAGCUGUGCCUAUUCAUGAAGGAUUUCAAUACUUUAGUAUGUUUUCUGAAGAAUUAAUAGCAAGGCAUCAAGAAAAAUAUAAUUUCCUCCAUAUUGGAAUGGUUCAAGUGGCUUUGAAGCAAGCAACCAGGUUAGGGCUAAAUAAUGCAGCCAUAAUUUGUGUUAGAGAUAAACGACAUAAUAGAUUUAACGAAUCCCUUCUUGGACUAGUUGAAUCUACUUCAUGUGACAGACCCAUCUACUUCUCCUAUUAUCCGAACUUCACCCUUUCCCUAACGGAUCCACAUAUAAUGAAAGCCCUUUCUCUUGACAUCAAAACUUUUGGUCAUGAUAUGCUUCAAAGGUUAGAAAAUAUAAUCGUAAUUUAGAGGAUUCAUUAUAAAGCUAUGAAUAUUGUUAUCCCUAAUUUAAGGGAAGCAACAACAAACCCAAUAACCCCAAAAGGAACUACCAUACUCUUCCUCACGAAUCUCUCAAAAGGAAACUUGGUAGUCUCGAGGUCCAUUCAGUGGGAUCAGGUAAACUUACUUGAAAAUUGGAUAUUAGAAGAGGUUGUACCUACUAGAAAGGAAGAUUCUACCGAAGUAAAAUAUAUAGUGAAGGCCCCAGAUGGUACAAUGGCAAUAACAUUCUCUAGGGAUAGAAGAGUUAAUAUAGGCCACAAGAAAUCAUUUUCAGGAAUCCCUAGCAUUCCUUAUUCGGUUCCACCAAGAACAUUGGUUUCUUCAAAUUCAGUUAGUGGCCUAAACAGAAUAGAAGAAAAUGUAGCUCAACCAAUUUAUGAGGCUAAAAGUCCAACUCCUUCAGAUAUGGGCUAUGAUAGAGAAAGCAUAGUGACAAGGCCAUUUAAAAUAAUGGUCCUUCAAAAGGAAUCAUCUCCAUUUGAAAAAUGGUUCUAGAUGAGCCUAAAAGAUAAUGAGCAGGCUUAUUGGCUAAAAGAAUACAAAGCCUACCAAGUCCUAAAAGGGACUAAAACUUUUCUUGAAUUCUUACCACAUGCUUUCUUCCUAAAAGGAAGAACAUUCCCAAAUUUCGAAAAUAAAACUUUUCUCACCAACCUUGAGUCUGCCUAUCAAAAUUUCAUUACUCCUAAAGAAAAAAUUAUCGGGAGUGUUUACCUCCUCUAACAAGUCUUUCAUAUCAAAUAGAGCAGUCCUAUGUAGAGUGUUCACUUUUUUCCCGAGGGAAGAGAAAGAGGGAUCAAUGAUAAAUAUGCUUCAUCAAUAAUACUUUGUAAAUCUAAACCUCCAUACUAUUGGGCAAAAACUAAAGACAGUGGAUAAUCAGCUAAAUAGGUUGAAGGCGGUAGGGUAUACCCCUAAAAUUGAGGCCGCAAUAAAAAUAGGAAACACAGAAAAGAAAAUCCUAUUUAAACCUAUGGAAGAAAAACUUAAUCUAAAACUGGCUAAAGAAGAUAAGUCAGAAUUAAUUGAAGAGUUAAUCAAAAGGUUAGCAGGCUUAGAAAUAGACUAAGAGAAAAAGGCUAUAGCUCCUUUAAAACUGGAGUAAGAGUCAAAUAAAGAACUAUCUGGCUUAUAAUCACCUAAAGAAACAUGUGAAGAUUAUCUAGAAGAACUAGAGGCUAUGCUAAAAUCAGCAGAUACAAAUCAGGAAAAUAAAAUAACCUACCCAAAGCCUUAGGUCGUGGUAGAAAUGAACGUUAUUACCUUAGGUCCUCUCUAAUCAAUAUGCAAUAUGAAGAACCUGCAUUUAAUUAUGUCUAAUAUGAUGGUUCUUCUAUUGUUGAGUGGAAUAUUGAUGGACUAUCCGAAUAUCAGAUAAGGAAUGUCCUUCAACACAUGACUAUGUAUACUACGGCAUCCAAAGUAAGAGGAAAUUUAGACCCAAUGGUAGCAAAAGCUAUAGUUGCUGGAUUUAUAGGCAAGCAAAGGGUGGUGUGAUUUUUCUCUAUCUAAAGAAGGAAAAGACUAGAUAGAAGGAGCUGUGAAACGGAAAGUAGUGAGAAGGCUAGGAUAUAAACUGGAAAGUAAUUUGUUGUCCUUCUAUCUCUAUAGUUAUCCCUUGUUUCGAUAUUUCUUGUAUCAGAUACAACAUAUGUAGAAAGGGAUUUCCUGGAAUGAUAGGAUGGGAUAAUCCUUUUACCAUUAAGAAUGGUAUUUGAAAACGUAUCCUUUAUUGCAAAGAACAGUAUUGUUCAAUUUGCAUUUUAUCGCUAUUUUACUACUAUCUGCCGUAUUUAAUUCCUCUACAGUUUUAGAGAAAUAUCUAGAAGGUACUAAUCCCUCAUUUAUGCAAUUUAGAUCCGCACCUGAAUCAAUUAGGGUGAUGGUAUGAAAGACAUUCUUUAAGGACCACUAUAGUAACUUUAGUGUGCCAUUUAUGGGUUAUUACCACAUCAACCAGAUUGACAUAAUGAAGAUUAUUUACUUCACCUUCAUUCAAAGGAUAUCUUUUUGAUCUUUCUAGAUCAAUUUCAUCUUUCUAGUUCUAACAUUACUAUUCUUUCUUUUAGGCUUUGCAACUCUAACAUUACUAACAUUACAAUUCUUUCCUUCUUUUAGUUCUAACAUUACUAUUCUUUCUUUUAGACUUUGCAACUCUAUUUUUACAGGGUCUAGUUCUGCUCUUAAUUCUUUUAUGGUGGGUUCUCGCUGCCUUUUAACAUUUUUCACCGUUUCUAAAAUUUCUUAUAAAUUAUAGGGUGUUUCCCUCUCUUCCAUUUUCUAUUCAAGGGGUUCUUUAGAGGUAGAUGCCUCUAAUCUUUCUUUAUUUAGAUUUAACUAGUGUUCUAAAUGGGCUCUUUUUUCUUCUGGACCUGUUAUUUUAUCUAUUAGAUCUAAUAGCAUGUUAUCUUCUUUGGUUAGUGCCAAAAGCCCGUUCAUGGCACAUACUGAUUUGUAGUAAUCAUAGUUGCCAUCACAAUCCGAGUUUUUAUCGAACUCGUAUUCCUUGUCUGUAAUUAAGCAAUAAGUAUACAUAAACCAAUAAGUACCUAGGUUAUUAGUAAGUUGAUAUAAGCAAGUUAGGAAACAUCACCUUAUACCAUUGUAGCUCUCUUUGCAUCUGCAACGCUGCACCUGAGAUGCCAGCAAGUCUAUCAGGAUGUGAUAACUUUCCAGCCAGAUGUAAAAUGUUAUUUUCAAAUUUAUCGGCUCCAUUAAUUAAAAUGUACUUCCUCGUACCAAGCGCAUAUAUAAUGCUAAAAACAUUUUCUCGCCGAUAAUGAACUGCAUUCAUAAGUAAGUUUCUUGAUUUUUUGUCGACAACAGUUAGCAGAUUGGAAUUGGCUUUAAGCAACUCAAUUACAACUUCAACUACUCCAUAUUUAAUAGCUCCAAAGAAUGCAUCAUAUAUUCCAUUUUCUUCAAAUUUAGUGUCGUCAAUAGAAGAUGAUAUGUGUUUGGCCAUCAAGUGCAGAAGUUCACGAGCAUAGGCAUGGCUCAAUUUUCUAUCAUAAAUCUGCUUCAGACCUAAACAAACCAAAAAUUGAGGAACUUAAUAUAUUAAUCGAAUUUAAAUUGAUAAUGUUUUUACUUAUAGAUAAAUUUUGAAGUGUACAAUUGGUUUAUAAAUAAUAGUAUUAUGCUUACUUAUAUAUAAAUUUAGAUAAACCAAAAAACAAAUAGCUAGCGAUAAAAAUUAGGAGUAGCAUACCAAAAAAUUCUAGUAACUUCAAACUGAGACUUGGCAUUUCAACCAUCCCUGAAAAAUGAAAACAACUCCGUUAAACAAUGAAAGCAACAAUUUUUAAAAAAGGGAAAAAAAUUCAACUUUUGUUGCUUGGCAAAGCUCCAUACAAUGUACAUAUAUAUAAACUACUACUUAAAGAUAGCUUCCUUUGAAUUCCUUUGAAGUUUGAACACCUUAAUUAUUUAUUUUUUGAAAGACUAGUCAUGUACCCAUGUGAUGCAUGAACUGUGUAAUUUUUUUAAUUUUUUCAAUUAAAUUGAAUGUAAUUUUCAAGAAAAUUAUUGUCAUUUAUGUUUGUGUUGUUUUAAUUUAAAUAAUUUGCUUAUUUAUUUUUAAUUAAAAAAUGAAAAAUAAGAUUAUAGUUUUUUUAAAAUUCUCAAAUAAUGAACUGAAAGAUUAAUUAGCAUAAUUAAUUAUUGUAAGUAAAUUAUUGUAAUUCAAAUGAUACAGUAAAUUAAUUAUUUUUUUCUUUAAAAUUCUCAUAUAUUCAAAUUAGAUGAGGUAUAAGAAUAAUUGAUGUUAAUGAAAUAAAUUUUAGUGAAUUGAAAUUAAUAUUUUAAUUCUAUUUAUUAAUGUAGUUGCAUUAUUUAAUUAAUUUUUAUUAACUAUGACUCUAUUAUAACUCCAUUAAUUUUUUUAUUGAAAAAAACUAUUUAAUAAAAACUUAAUAUUUAUUAAAUGUAAAAAAAUAUUAAUAAUAAUCAAAAUCAUCUAAGUUUGUAACUCCAUUAUUUAAUAGAAAAUUUUAAUUUUUAUUAAAUGCAAAAAGAUGUUAAUUAUAAAGAAAAAGUAAAAUGCCACAUAAAUAUUUAUAUUUUAGAAAUUACAUUUAUAGAUAUAGAUAGAUAUAGAUAGAUAUAUUGCCACAUCAUCAAUUGUACUUUUGAUGACAUUUUUAGAUUGGUUAAUUUGAAUAUACUACAUUGGUUUUGUUAAUGUUGACACUUUUUGACUUUUUCUUCUUCUAUUUAGAUGAUAGUUCUAGAAAAUCAAUAUGGUAUUAAUUGUUUUAUUUCAACUUUCCUCUUGUUUAGCUAAUUCAAUUUUUUUUUUAAUUUCUGUGAACAGUCAACAAAAAAUAUGAAAAUUAACAAAAUAAAUAUAAUAACACAUCAACAGAAUAUUGUUUACUGUCUUCAUUACAUUAAAUUUGAUAGUUUUUUACUUUUUAUGAGAAUUAAAAAACUGUCAGUUUUAAUGAAAUCGAUGGAGUAAUUGUUUCCUCGUAGGCUUUAAUUAUAAGCUUUGAGUCGCAAUAAUUUAAAGACCGGUAAUAGUACUUUGAACCAAAAGCUCUUCGAUAAAUUAUGGUUUAUCUCAUAAUUUGGUGUUUCUUUUAGAGUGAGAGAGGUGUACACCUUGCCUGACAUGAUCAUCAUUCUCUGGAAUGGCAAUUCGAACAUCACCAGGGGUAGGGCCAGCAGGUAAUUCCCCAGGAAUACCUUCCAUAAAUCUGAAAAAUAUCAAUUACAUGAAAUAAUUAUUAUAUUUAUUUAGAAAUUCAAUCCGAAACUAAGAUUUUAAAUUCAAAAACUACAAUCUUUAAACAAUUUUGCAAUUAGUCUGAAAGAAUAAACGACGAGAAAGCAAAAUAACUGAAAAAAAAAAAAAAAAAAAGGGUUCACCUGAAUUCCCCCCAAGGAAUUAACAGGAAUAUAUGCAUCGUUUCCAAAAGACAUAUCGGUUGCCGCUCGGGAACAAAUGACUCAGACCAGAAAAUUGGUCUAGCGGUGUGUUUCCAAGUUGUGUUCGUGUCGUGGCUAAGCUUGGGCCACGCUGCAGCAAAUCCAAGGAUAUAUCUAACACAAAUAAAAAGAUUUAAAUGAAGGUUUAUAAUAAGAAAAUGAAAUUUUAGUUUGCUUCGAACUCUUACUUACCAAACAUUUCUCUGAAAAAUGAGACUACAAGAAGAGAAGAGCCGAAGUUUCCAUUUUCCGGAAGCAGUAUAUCAAAAGGAGUGACAGAAUAUAAAUACUGAGUUGUUUCCUUAUGGCCAUUAUUACAUGCCACUGUUACUGGGAGAUCAUCGUCUGCAAUAGUAACUAAAUCCAUGGUCUUUUUCAGCAUGCAUUCAGCAAUUUUUGUUGCUCCAGUAGCAGCAGCGCCAAUAAGAGCAGUCUCAUUCCGCUUAUCAACCGCAAGUACGUCUUCUACUGACAUUAACUCCACCAAAAACUCCACAAUAUUUAAGUUUCCAGUCAUUGUUGCAAGAUGAAGCGCUGUUUCACCAAAACCUGUAACCUUUCUGUGCACUGCAUCUGGGCAAAGAUUAACGAAGGUUUUCACAGCAUUAAAAUCACCUUUAUCUAUAGCCUCUCGUAAUGGCUGAAACUGAAGGUACUCGUCCUUCUCUGUUCCUGUCAUAUUUUAUCAACUUAUUAUACCUCUCGUUCCAUUAAACACUUU